UAUAUAAAAAAGGAACCUAUCAUAUAGCAUUAAAAUUAUGUGUUUAUAUGUGUUUCUCCUCCUACUAGACUUAGACUAUGAACUCCCUUCAUCCUUACACAUUGUAGAUACUCAAUGAACACAAUAAAUACUUGUUGAUCCAGUAAUUAAUUUAUUGAAAUCUUUGAAAAAAGUUUAAGACAUUGACAGGCAGUUGGAAGGAAAGAUUAUUGGUGGCUGAACAGAGGCGUGGAGAAGGAAAAGCAGCAGGUCUGAGCAACCAGGCUAGGAGAUGCAGGAGAGGAAGUAGUCCAGAUACAAGCGUUUAGUCAAAAGCUACAAGGGAAGUUGCUCCAAUUGGAAAAACACAGAGGAGGAGAGAAGUUUCAUCUUUGGCUGCCACAACCAGCUCUGCCCACUCAGGAAAUCCUGCUUUAAAAGUCUAAGAUGAGAAAUCUGAGGCUCAGAGAGGUCAAGUGACUUGUUCCAGGUCCUACAGCUGCUAUCAUCCAGCCAUGCCAAACCACUCACAGUUACCUGACUGGUGUGUAGUAUGGCAUCUCUUUCUUUGUGCACAUGAUUCCUACUGCUUGGAUGAGCCAAGUCACAGAGCCACCAAACCCAUUUUGAAAUCUGGCAGAAUGAAAGAUGAAAAGGAACCAUAAUAGUAGAGUAUAUUUGAAAAGUCAAUAUGUCACUCUCAUAAUAAUGAAAGGAUUAAAGAAAUUAUAGAACUGGAAAAUUCGUGGCAGACAUUACAUAUGAAAAGAUCUUACUGGUAGAAUGUGGGGAACACUCUCUAAGCAUAGUUGUAAGAUUCACAUAAUUUAAUCCUGUUUUAUAGGACAGAUAUGCAUAGUUAAUACCUCAAGAUAUUAUUUCUUUA